AUAACUCGCAUUUUCUCGACCCACGUGUCGCGCAGAUCGGUUGCGGAGAUGGAGGAUGGAUUUAUCUUACAGUUUCUGUUGAAUCAAGGAUACUUAAUGUUCUGAAUGAGAUGAAGACCACCAUCUGCAUGCCAAAGACAACCAGUGGGACAGAUCGACCCGAGCCAAAGCUAUUGCUGCAGUUAGAGAUGCACGGGAAUUGACAAGAAGAGGGAAAUAUGGUGGUUACCUGGAUAUACACGACUCUGAUAAUUCAGAUGAGGAUGAGGAGGCUAUAUUCAGUCCAGAUACGUCUCAUCUAAGGACAAGAGCAAACCCUAAUUGCAGGAAAACCACUUCAAAGAAACAGCCACAAAAGACAAGUACCCCUUCAACACAACAGCAGGCACAGCAAAGACCCCAAGAGACACAGAGAAAGCACAUUGAGGGCACAAAUGGACGUUCAGUCACCAUUCUGUAUGAAGGAUCAGGGGACUAUGAAGGUCAUUCUAGUCCAAAAAGACAGCCCUGUUCGUUCGAGGACUUAACAUCAGAUCAAGUGGACAUCAUCCUUAACCAAGUAGAAUCUGCACAAAAGAACUUAAUCAGCACCAUGACAAUGACUGAUGACAUCGUUAUUGUUCAGAGUGAGGAGGAUAUAGCAUCACUGUGCAAAGACUGCAAUGGAACCCACCAUUCUCAGACAUCCGUUCAGACACAGCUCAAGGACAUCAAGUCUUCUCAAAAAGCCCUGGAGAAGAAAGUGGACAGUCUUCUAGAAAUAUUGACCACAUUUGUGAAAAAGCAGGAGACCUGUGUAACCAUUGAUCUGAAUACAUCAAGCUUUGUUAUUGAACCUGAAUCUACACCACCUUCUAAAGUGACCAAGGCCUUGAACAAUAUUCUUACCACAAGUGUUAUGAGCACUACUGCACAUGACACUUCCGCUGCUAAAAUUCCUUUCAACACUUCGAUCCUGGACAACACCUGUGAAACUUCAACCACCCGUAACAACUUGACGACAGGCCGGACUACAAAGACAGGCAACAUCCUGACCACUUUGAGGGCGUCAAACACUAGCAAGAACUCGAUUGACAGCACCACAGGCAACAAUUCAACGAGCAACACCCAGACCACAAGCAAGACACUGAGGGGCAGCACUCUAUCCACAGGCAACUUGACUGGCCGCACCCUUUCAACAGACAACUCGAUUGGCAGCACUCCAUCCACAGACAACUCGACAGGCCGCGCCCUUUCAACAGACAACUCGAUGGGCAGCACUCCAUCCACAGACAACUCGACUGGCCGCACCCUUUCAACAGACAACUCAAUGAGCAGCACUCCAUCCACAGGCAACUCGACAGGCCGCACCCUUUUAACAGACAACUCGAUGGCCAGCACUCCAUCCACAGACAACUUGACUGGCCGCACCCUUUCAACAGACAACUCGAUGAGCAGCACUCCAUCCACAGGCAACUUGACAAGCCGCACCCUUUCAACAGACAACUCGAUGAGCAGCACUCCAUCCACAGGCAACUCGACAGGCCGCACCCUUUCCACAGAUAACUCGAUGGGCAGCAUCCAAAUGUCAGGCAAGACCUCGACUACCAACACCCUUUUGACAGGUAACAACUCAUUGGGCAACACCUUGAUUGGCAGCACCCCAAGCAUGUUCAUAACCUCAAGCAUGGUUGGCACCUCAACACCAGUGACAUCUUUUGAAACAACUUCCAGAGAAGAACCUAGUAAGAGUUUUGUUGAUGGAUGCCUCAAAUGAUGAGUUGCCACCACCUGUGUGUGAAACAAUUGCCGAACUUGUGUUAGUUGAGGAAAAUGAAGAAAAUGUUGUCCCAUCAUUGGAAAGUAGGUUUGCCAACCAGAUGAAUAAGCCUCGACUGCAGCGAAUGAAACGAUUUCCAAGUCCUUGCAAGGCUAAUGCCAUUACAACUUAUAUAAGAAGCAGUGAGGAUGUCGAGCCUGGAAACUACGAGAUUCUUGUUUGCCCAGAUGUACUAAUGGAAAUCAAAGAUCGUUCUUGUUCUGAUGGAAACUUUUUGUUGAACACAGCAAGAAGAAUUUUCAAGGAGGAAGAGCUGGAAGGAAAGAAUUAUUCUGGAAGAAAAGGGAGGUCUGGGAUUUCGCCUAGACGAAAACAUGCUCUUCAACAUGCGUUUGCAGAAUACUGUUCGUCGAACAUUGAUGACUUCAAGCGGGCAGUGAUUGCUUUGAACUCAGGAAUUAGAGGAAUGGCAUUCAAGUAGUUCAUGGAUUUGUGAAAAGUGUAAAAAACAAAUUACAUUUCACCAAAUGUAUUAUACAUGUUUUUUUUAAAAUGUACACUUGUGAUGAACAUGAUGAUACACAUAUAUUUAUGACUUGAGAUGCCUAUGAUAUAAUGAUUUUAAAUGUCAUUACAUUUAUGCAAUUAAAUCACAGUUAUAAGGAUAACAUUUUGAAUCUGUUGACAGUCAUAAUAAAUUCUCUUCCAGC
rnacentral:misc_RNA from 1 species